rnacentral:rRNA from 1 species
GGGUCAGUAGGUUGGUCGUGCCACCGGUACGUACUGGUCUCACUGAUUCCUCCUUCCUGAAGUACCGUAAUGCCAUUAAUUUGGUGUUGCGGGGAAACAGGACUGUUACCUUGAAAAAAUUAGAGUGUUUAAAGCAAGCUAACGCUUGAAUACAUUAGCAUGGAAUAAUGAAAUAGGACGAUCGAUCCUAUUUUGUUGGUUUCUAGGAUUGACGUA